UAACAUUUUAGAUUGUUUCCUUGUAAGGCUUGAAGUAACCGUUUCUGUAUGUCAGGCAUUAUGCUAUACAUUUUAUAUGUAUUUCCUCAUUUAACCCUAACUUUGCAAGACUGCUGCUUUUCUGAGAAAUUAACUUUCUCAAAGACUUACAGCUGGUAACUGGUGAAGCUGAGACACCUACCCAGGCUGAACCAGGGUGCCAGGCUUUAAUUCAUUAUAUAGAACUACUUUCUUUUUGGGAGACAGAACAUCUUCUGCAAACCAGAGCCUUUUCAUUCUUAGCCAUUAUUUUCCCUGUAAUUCAUCUUUUAUAUCUAUAUAAUAACUGCUUUCUGAACACCCUAACGCCUUUAUAUACCCAAGAAGCAUUUCUCUGUAGAACCAACCUUCUAAAGCACUGAAGCAACCCUCUCCAGACCUCUCACCUCCAUUUUCUUCCAUUGUACAACCAGGACAGUAAGCAUAAUUUUGCCUUAACCAUCUAUUCUAGGCUCAAGUCUGGCCACAUGGCACUAAUGGACAACCCAUACAUUUGGAGAGACUCCAAGAAAUCCAUCCCAAGCCCUGAAUGGUCCUGGCCCCGUUCCAGAAUUUUACUAACUUUCCACAAAUUGUGAUUCCAGACACGUUCAUACCUUGGCCCCCAGGAUAAUGGAAGCCACAAAAGAGAGAAAUUAAAAUGUCAGCCCAGCUGGGCCCACAGCGUGGGCCAGUAAUUACAAUGGAACCCUUUGCCUCUUCGAUCACCUGAGUGGAGCACAUCUGUGCCUCCUGCAAAAAAGGAUAACAGAGUAACUCAGAGCAGUUUUUUUCAAAGAUAUCCCUUAACUCAGUGUAAGUAUAGUGCGCCAAUUAACAGUGGCAACUAAGGUUUUAAUAAACCACAGGAAAAUUUUUAAAAGCAAGGUGAGAAGCAGAGAUCAGUCUUCUGAUGAGCUUUGUAAGUCAGUGACCACCGUCAUCACUCAAGACCUAAAUUACCUGAAAUGUGUCACCAAGGCCUCAGCAGCAAAUAAAAGAAAGCGUUGUUAUUCUCUGCCUGAGAAAGGAGUUACGGCCCAACCCUUUCAGCUACAGCAGAUUCUGAAGGACAAGUUGUACGCCACAUCACUAUGGACAGAGAAAAGGAUGUCCACAGCCAAGGGGACACCUGAGAGGUCAUAUACUCUGUGGGAUCAUGAUAGAAGUUCAAAACAUCAGCCUGAGAAAGUGAUCUGUUGUUUUCUAUGCCCUGAAGGUGCUGAUAUCCAGAGUCUGUGAUGUUACAUCCAUGAGUUUUUCCAGCUUUGAAACUGAGCGCUCCAAGAACUUGGAUCCCUUUUCUUCAGCUUCCAUGCCAGGGAAACACUGAGAUGACUUCGGCCAAAAUGACCUUUCUGCCAAUUUAUAUCCUAAUCCAGAGAGGCAGCCAGUUGCGUUACCAAAGGAAACUGAUG
rnacentral:lncRNA from 1 species